rnacentral:lncRNA from 1 species
GAAUCUUCCAUGCAGAAUCCGGUGGAGGUCAAACAAAGGCAGCCAAGCCGGGCAGGCCGGGACGCGACGCUAGCCACCACCCAACUCUAUCUAUCUAACGAUGGAUCCAUCCAUAUCCAUAGGAUGGUGCCGUGUUCCACAUUCUCCGGGUUUCAUCGAUCAGCAGUGGGUGCGUACGUCCGUCGUCGGUUGCGUCCAAGAGUCUGAGACGUUUCUCGAUGAGCCGGUGGCCCGUCCGUCCGGGAGAUGGCGUCGCCCCGCCGUGUCUAGUCCACGUCGCCGGAGGAGAAUGGGUCGGCCGGAUGGCGUAGGUAGGCGUCCCGUCGCGGUCGGUCAGCAUGGAUGGAUCAGGGAUGUAAACUCACGGGGUUCAGAUCAGAUCAGAUCAACCGUGCAUGCAUGGUGGGU